ACCAAACACAUCAUAUCACUAUUUUGAUUCUUCAAUGUGUCCAACAAUGUCAGACCACCACCACCUCAAAGAUUGGUCGAUGUCGGAACCACUGUAGAUCCUGUACUUUGUGACCGCUGUAAUUGAAAAAUUUGAGUUCUUGGCAUUUUGGCUAAAGUAAAAGUAAGGUAAAAAGAAAAAAUAAAAGUGUCAGACAUCGCUACAGUUCCCUCGGCUUACAAGACAUAAUUAGCCGCUGUCAGAAAAGUAAAGCAAGGAAUGAAAUCUUUAAUGUCUGUUCAUUAUCAGCAUCGAUGACCAGCUGCUGAGAAACACUCUUCACAGUAUCAGUGGCAGAAGGUCUUUGUGUUCGGAGGCAAAAGCAUCAUGUCUGGUGAUUUGAUGGCAGUGUUUUCAAAGCUCAGGGUGCGAUGCACGACACAAACCAAUAUUUAUGAGUGAGGAGUUGGCUGUUGUGACUAUGUCACUGAAAUGUUACAACACAAAUUAUAUUAUCUAUUAUACAGUAGAGUAUUUUGUUCUGAAGUGUUCUGUUUUCCCUCAGUGGCUGACCUGUCUCUUGCAACAAAACUUGUCGAAUGCUUUCUUUAUUACUGUUUACUAAAAAUACAACAAAAAAAAGACCAAGACCUAAACUACUGUACUGAUUAAGGGGUACACGGAUCAACAUUUUUUUGGCCAAUACCGAUUGCCCUUUCUUUUUUUAAAGUCCCAACUGGCUGAUACCGAUUUUUGCAGAUAGUUUUAUCUUUUUUUUUUUUACUCAACUAAAACACACAAAAGUCACACCUAUUAAAUAACAAUAAUCCUGAACAACACUGUGUAGUAAACAGUGCAACUUUUAAACAAAAUAAAUACACAAUAAAAAAGGCAAAGUGCCGAAUAUAAAAUAAAUUCCUUUCGUAAACCCACCAUGUGAACUUCACUCAUACCAUAACCUGACAGACCACUCCACUUGUCAUCGACUACAUGUCCAGGAAAUGAUAUCUGGGCUCCAGAUGUGCUACUAGCUGCUGAUAGCGCCCCUCCGGCCUUCAACAACAGAAUUCACCUGCUUGUUCAAAACAAUAAACUCAGUUCACAUUGGUUCUCUUGCGGUUAGCUCCAGUUAGCAUUCGUUCAUUAGCCUCUUGGUCACCCUUGAAUUCGGCACCAUGAUUUGAGGCCAAGUGUCAGCAACGUCUGAGACUGUGGGUGCACACCGCAGGCAGGGCUGCAACAUCACAACAACUAGUGGGAUUUCGCGGACAAAAGGGGAUAUUUGCUGUUUGAUUGACCGAUUAUGAUGACUGGGUAACCUGAGAGGAAAUGCUUUUGAUAAAUCAAGAGAUUUUAUUCAUUAUUAACAAUUCUGCCUGUGCUGAGCUGGGUCCUGGACCCUCCAAGGCUGGAAAGGCAUGGGAGGCAGGCUUCAAUCUCAGGGAAGAAGGCUGUCCACAAUAUGGCACUAAAGCCAGCAACGGACCAAGAGUUUCCAUCCUCGAACAGUUGAGAGUCAUAUUCGAGAUGUCACUUCCCGCUGCUGUUCUGGGCAACUUUACGUUUACACCACCUUGAUAAGCACCAUGGCCGCUUCUUUUUCACAACCGGUCGUUUAUGCAAAGAUUGAAUUUCUUGAGAAACCUCCUCCAUGAUGUUCGUGCAAGGGUCGCAGGUCGACAUCUGGCAGCUGUGAAAGGUGCCGGCGCAGGCCUCUCUAUUGUGAAGUGACACUUGAACAGUUUCUGUGAGUAUGGUGUUGACCUCAUUGGUCACAGUGUUCACAAUCCCGUGUGUGAUCUCUUGUGGGACCUGCAUGGCGUCCUUGUCCACCAAGUCGGAGAGCACCUCGCCAAAGGAUGUUCUGAAGGUGGGAUCGGUACCUGUGCCGUUGUAGUUUUGGGAAGUAUUCUGCAGAAUGACCUUCUCUGCCACAGAGUGGUUGAGAGUGGCAAACAUCUCACUGGACUUGGACAAUGACACAAUGGUCUGUGUGGACAGCUGCAGAAUUUCUAUGCAGAGGUUGACCAGCUGAUCCUUGACCACAAUGGUGUGGAGACCCUUGCUCAUCUCUGUCAGCUGCCUGAGGAUAAUGGAUGAGUCAGUCACAAAGCUGAACCUGUGGCUGGCAACUGACAGUUUGCAUGUUACGUACCUUUCAUCGAGGCUGUCAAAGAACUCCUUCAUCACCACACUGAGGUUCUUUUUGAGUUCAGACAGGGGCGCUGCUGCCCUGCUCUGUGUGCGGUUACUCUCUGUGUAGACACCUUGAGCUGAUGGCCCAGGAUGCCUUUUUAACUGCUGUACCAAGUCCUCCAAAGACAUCUCCUCAAUCUCUUGCAUCAUCGGUGGUGGACUCAUUUUAGGGUGUUUCGUGACCCCAUUCCCCAACUUGUUACCGUAGGGUUGGUACAGCGAAGAUCCCGUUGAAGGGUCCCUGCCAGUCCAUGCCUCUUCCAAGAACUCCAUCAUGACACAUGCUUUUGUGACAUCAUCAUCGCGAGGGCAAGAAGUAGAGUAUGAAGAGGACAAAGUAGAUGAGUUCAAAGCUGAUAAAUAAAGCGGAUCUCUUUGCCGACAUUUGUAGUCCAGAUAGUCUGUGAUGUAGUCCUCCACGCCUGCAGCUUCCAGGGUGUCAUCAUAGCCCAGAUAUUUAAAAGAGGACACAGACGUUUGAGUGGAGAUCUCCUGUGAGCCUUCAUUCUCAUCCACAAAUCUGCCUUGUGGAAAGUUUGGAGUGAUGCUCGGCGCAGGCGGCGUGGACAUAUCAUACUGCCCUGACCUUGAAUCCACCCAAGCCUCCUCCAUUAACUCCUUCAUAAUGCCUGCCGCUAAGAAUUCUUCAUCGUCCUCGUCAGUGUCAGUGGGUACGGAUGUCGAGAUAAAAUCUGCCUCCAGACUGGGUAGUUUCCACACAUGCGAGAGUAAUGAAUCUUGUUCCCUGCAAGGGUAGACCAUCUCUUCCUGCAACUCCGUCAUGGUAUCGUCCACAAAAAUAUCAGCUAGAUCAGAUGUGAAACUCAAGGCUACAUCUCGAGCAUCCUCUCUGGGGCACCCGGGGGUUGGAAGUGUCCAGAGAGGUUGGGAGUAGUAGCCUGAGUCUGUACGGCUGUGGGCCAGUUGUCCCAUCAGCUUUCCUUCACCCCCCGCGAUAACUUCCUCCUCAUCCUCCCCAUCUGAACGAGGAGAGGUGAAAGUCAUGGUUUUAUCCAGCGUGUCUUGACAAGAGCUCACGGAUGUUCGGGUGGACGAUUUCAAAAUCGGUGAAGAGUAUGAAUCUAAUGCUGGACUGAUAUAGUCCAGCUCCCCCUGUCCUUGUCCCUCAGUAACAGCUGAUUUGAUGACCUCAUCCUCAUCUGCAUAUGCUUCAGAUGGGAGAGAGGUGAAGAUCAGUGCUGGAUCAAUUUCGUCCAGGACAGUCCCCUCAGACGUUGGUGUGGAGCACUUCCACCCAGGGGACGAGGAUAAUUCUGCUACCUUGUAUGUUUGAGAUUGGUCCUGUAGAUGAGUCACCAUGACAUUUAAUGCAGGGCCAGUGUCAGGAGGAGAAAGAAGAGGGGACUCCUUAUCUGAGCUGUUCGGGGCAGAACUUAGUGUGGUGAUGGUGGUUGUUUCUAAAGACAAAUUAGUCUCCACGUAGGUGACUGAGGAGGAUCUGGUUGAGCUCAAAGCUGGAGAAGGAGUUGCAGUUGGUAAGGGAGUAGGAAGCCUGCAGAUGGUUGGCGUGGCUGGCAGUUGUGGUGUGGGAGAGUGGUGGGUAAUCAAAGCUGGAAAGUGAGUGCCCUCAAUUGGGGGUGUAGGAUGCCUACAGAGAGGAGACAUGGAGUUUUGCAAUUCGUCAUAAGUUUCAGCACUGCACUCCUGCAGCACUUGAAUGUCUGCUGAAUGUAAGAAGGUGGAUGACAUGGUGCUUAAUGCCAUUCCUUGAGGAGAGAGGGUGGGUUGUCCGUGAAGGGGCGAGAAGGGCUGUCGAUCCUUUUCUGUCUCCUCAGCAUCUCCCUCUUUGUCCAUGUCUGCAGAGACAAAUGAUGAGGGAAAGACCGCAUUCGUAGCUGGAGAAGGAGUUCCACCUGGGGAAGGAGUUGGUAGCCUUUGAACCAAGUCCUCCUGGAGGUCACUCCUUACAGCUGCCAUGUCCGACAAGGAGGAGGAGCUUAGUGUAGGGGACAGAGUUCUUCCUGGUGAGUGAGUCAGAAAAACGGAGACAGGUGAUGUCGAUUGCUGCUGUGCCCAUUUCACAUUAACAGUCACUUCUUGCAACACAUUAAUCCUCUCAACAGAGACAAUAGAUGCAGGAGAUUGGCUGCCUUCUGAGGAGGGUGGGGGGAGCCAGCGUACAGGUGAAGACGGUCCCUGAGACAGCCGCAAUUGCUCCUGCAGGACGCUUGCUGAUCUGGAGAGGGUCUGCUCUUCUUGCAAGACUUCUACUGAGUCAGCUGAGACAAACGAGAGUGGAGUGGUGGUGACGCUUAGUGCAGGGGACAGGCUUCUUACUGAUGAAGGAGUGAGCAGCCUUAGAGCUGGUGAGGUGGAUUGUUGUGCUGCCUUGCUUUUGUCCAGCAAUGUGUCCACAAUGUCUGCUGAGAUGGGUGAGGAAGGACACAAGGUACCCAGAGUGGGAGACUGGGUGCCAGCAGACAAGGGAGUCAGCCUGACUGAUGGACUGGUGGGCUGCUCUUGAAACACGUAAACUUGUUCCUCCUGCCUGGCACUCACUGGCCUUGAGGUGGGCAGAAUAUCCACUCCGGUGGUUGGAGUCCAUGUCUGCAGGUCUUGUGAAGGUAGGGGUGAGACAUGUGGUGGUUGCUGUGUUUGAUCAUUGACAUCCUGAUCUUCACUCGUAUAGCUGACUGUAUGAGGUGCUAAAGGACUUAGAGCCUGCCCUGUUACAACAAGGUGCUCCUGCUGGAAGGAGGAAACUGAAGUUAUCAUGGACAAGUCUUCCACACUCUCUUUGCUCACACCAGGGCUGGUGGUGGACCUUGUGAUGUGGAUGUCCUGAAUGGAGCACACCGACGUGCACAUAACAACGUCCUGAGCACAUGAGGGAGAAGGUCCUGGUGACUGAGCUUCCUGCGUGAGCAUCAGUGAAGAGCUUGGAGAGGGAACCCCGCCACACAUUGACGGAGAGUAGGACUGGGACACCUCGUCCACUUUAGGCUCCAUUUCCACACUAGUCCUAGAUGAGGCAGGGUUUAAAACCCUCUCUGGUGAUGCAGAGCCCCGUUGGGGUGUAGCAGAGGUAGUACUGUCUAUUUUCUCUUCGACUGCUAGCUGGAAGUCAACAAACGCUUUCUGAAGUGUUGUUUCCAAGUAGCUCUCCACUUGAAGGUUCAGUGUGUGCAUCAGUUCACUGGCAGCCUGCUGGACGAUUUCUGUGACCACUGUUCUGAAGUUUUCAGAGGAGGGCUCGGGCGGGGUGGACGGACUUGUUCUCUGACUUUCAUCCUCUUCAUCAUCUUUUACCAGUGAGGCCAUCAGGAUUUUCACAGUUACAGUUGACACGUGGUGUGUGUCCAGAUAUCAAAACCAAAUGAUUAAUUAUUGGCAGAUUACAAAUGUCUCAGCGGCAUACUGCUUUCUGUGUGGUCGACUUCCGAGUCAAUAUAUAGACUUUAGGACUGACAUCCCAUGUGACCUGUGAAGACUUUAUUGUGUCACAUGAUGGCAUUUGAAAAGUGCACUCACUUCUCUUAGGCCUCCUGAGACAUUGUGCCAGACUUUACUAAAGCAUCUUGGUCUUCACUGUACUCCUCACACCACCAAUGUCUAUAGAACUAUCUUGGUCCAUUGCAACACUGGAUGUGGAAAGUUCCAAUCAUGGAACCUCAUGGAACAUGAUGUUCAAUGGGACAAGUUAAGCAUGCUGCUGCUGCUGCAGAACAAUUUCACUGAUCACCCAGGGUGGAAGAAUUAUCAUGUUUAAUCCGCUCAAGUGUUGUCACCACCAGUGCCUGCGCGUAACAAACAAUCUUCAUAAUAAUGGAUUCAAACCUGCAACCUCCUUGUUGUACGACUGCAACACUCACCACUGUGUCAAAGUGUGGUCAUGCGGCAUCAUCAGUCCUGGCAGCUGGUCUUUGAAUCCCAUGUGACACCUUGCGCUUGGCUUUGUUUGCGGUUGACUUUAGCCUAUAUAAGGUGAAUGUGUGUUACUGCAAUAGACUCACACCAAGUCAGCUCGCCAGAAUGAAAUUGGAAUCGGAGAAUUCUACAUCAGCAACUUUGAACGAUAGUUAUGAGAGGACGUGCUGCUUGGUCGAGGAGGGGGGUUUGGAUCUGCUUAUCUCAGAGGCAGUUCACCGUGCUGCCAAUGAUGUCAAGCGGCUCCAGCAAGAAAUCAUUCAAUGGGAGGAGGAGGAACUAUCCCACCUGACCAGUACAGAUGACAGUGCUGAAGUCAAGGCUCAAAUGUACGUCAAACAAAAAACCAACAAUUACCUGGAGAUAUUCUUUGCCAAUCGGAGAGCAACUGUUGAAUGGUGUACAGUGGGUACAGAUGUCAGCCAAGGGGCUCGAGAGGGGGUGUCCACGUAUCAGGAUUUCCCUGACACAGACCUAGCAGCAACUGGUGAGAUGUUGGAAUUCUUGGACUACUCAGAACUACCAGACGUUACCAUGGCUCAGCAAGUGGAAGGCUUCAAAUGUCGAUGUGCGGGUCAAAGUCCAACAACCUCGUUCGAAGAAACCUAUGAUAGCCUGUGUUCCAGCAUCACGGAUAUAGUUCACCAGGCAGCAAAGGAUGUUAACGAACUCAGGCAGUCCAUCUGUCACUGGGAAGCUGAGGAGCAAUCCAAACUCAGUGCUGAUGAGGAUGACUCCGCAGUUCAACGCAGAGUCAACGAGAAAGUGGAGCUUUACCUGGAAAGUUACUUUGCUGGACGAAGGGCCAUGGAAGCACAAUGUGAGGAGAGAUACCCGGCGGAAGAUUUCUCUCAGAGACCCAUGACUCCUUCCUCGCAGGUCCCAGACAUGCUAGGUUCGAUGUCUGUGGCCCAUCAAGAGAUAGAUACCCUAUCAACGGAAGUCACCAAUGAAUUCUGGCAAGACAACAGAAAAUUGACCUUUGAUACAAUGUCUCUAACGCAGCAGCUCGGGAGUCUCGUGAACAGCUCUGCGACGUUGGUGACCUCAGACGAGGUCUCUGAAGACUUAAAUUCACAAAUAACAGAGAUUGUGUGUCAGUCUGUACAAGAUGUUUCUCACCUAAAGCAGACAAUUUGUCGCUGGGAGGAAGAAGAGCGCUCCAAACUUGAGCCUGAUGUGGACGAAUCUGUAAUACAAAGUCGUGUAUCGCAAAAGGUGGAGCGUUUUUUACAAAUAUACUUUGACCUCCGAAGAGCACUCGCAGAGCGUGAAAGCCGAGUAAAGUUGGGAGAAUACACAUUCACAGAGAAGGACCUACGAGGACCAUCACUACAAUGGCUUGAAGGUUACAUCGAACAGAAUCAAAAUUUGAAUCUGAGCACAAUCGUUUUAUAUGACAUAAGUUCACAAACAUUCAAUGACAGUCUGUUAGAUGAGGACACUUUGCCACAGGAUGUCAGCCUGCCAUCAACUUCUCAUCCUGACAAACAAAUGCCAGACACCUCAGACGACGCUAGAUCACCGGAAAAAACAGAUGUAGUGGAAACGAUCGAUGUGGAGGAAGCCGAUGAUGAAGAAUCAGAGUUCUCUCUUCUGCCCUCUAGGCUCUCCCCCAGUGAGGAGGACAGCCAGGCGCUUGUCCAGAGCACCUCCCCUCCACUAGAUGGUACAGAUGUGGAAGAAAAUAUUACAUUGAGUGAUGUUAGUCUUGCGCCGUUACCUUCUGCAGACCGACCCAGUUCAGUUACAGAGAGCAACUUAGAGGAACUGGUUUCACCAGGUAGUGAAGAUAAAUUACUUCUUGUUCAAACCUCUGAUGGUGGAUUAGAAGUUGACUUGGCAGAUCAACGCUCCCUCACCGAGCCCCAUAUUCUUGACACUGAGAAGUCGGAGUUGAGUGCUCACCUUGAAACAGCUGAGUGCACUGACGAUGACACGGAAGUAAUAGUCACCAGUACUGGGGCGAGAGAAGACAUUGAGCAAACAGAACGUAUCAGUGAUGAAGCCAGGACUCCUACUGCAGAGGAAGAAGGAAAACCAGGAAUGGGCUUACCAGAGACAAUGUCACCUGUCAUUCAAGACUCGUCGCCAGAAGCCUCUCGUAGGGAGGAGGUGGUUCUUGCGGAUGUCACAGCCAUUGGUGAUGAAGAGGAGGCUGCUUCUGAAAAACUGAGCUGUACCGGAGAAGAUGUCUCCAAUUUAUCUGAGGGGAUCGAAUAUGUUUGUGAUCCUCUUCAGGAGCUGGCCGAUCAGGAUGGAGUGAAAAAGGAAUCUGACACCAGUUCUACAUGUAUAGAAGAUGCCACUACAGUAGCUGAGGAGGUAGAGGACAGUCUUGUUGAAAAGCAACAGUCAACCUCCAAAGAAGACUUCUCCAGGAAAGAACAGAGCCCAACAUCUUUGCUCCUGUGUUUCUUUUUUGAGGAUGAUGAGCCCUUCAUAUCCUGUCUUGACUCAGAAUCAUCACGGGGGCAAUCAGCUUCUCCACUGGGAAGACCAACUCCCACCCCUAUAUGUUCCCCUCAAGACACUAUAAUGCCAUUCAGUCCUGCAGCGACUUACCAAGAGGACAGAGCGGUGGUGGCAGGAGUUUGCAAAGCAGAGACUAAAAGUGAUGUCGAUUCAGCACUUGGACAGAGCCCCUCUCCAUCAGAGGUGUCCAGUAAAAACAUAGAGCCAACAUUGAGCCCCUUGCCUGAUGUAACCAGCGUACAGCUAAAGGAACCUGAGUGUGCCACAACAGAAGAUGCUGUGACUAUAGAGUUAGGUGCAACAUAUACAGUACCAGGAUCCACCCAGGAUCAGCUUGAUGAAAACUUGGACUCCAGCAAGACCUUGCUUGGAGAAGAUGAACCCAUAACUGAGGACGGCCCUCAGGAUUCUGAAAAAGGACCUUCUCUCUCAUCGUCCAAAGAACUGUUAAAUCUAUCUGGCACGGAAAUCUGUGAGCUAAGAUUAACCGCAAAUGGCAGCAUUGAGUUGGAUGAUGUCAUUCAAAUGACGGAGGAUUCAAUAGGAAAAGACCCAGAUGAAGUUGGAAAAGCACCAAGCCGCUUACCUUCACCUUUCCAAGAGGUGUCAACUUCUAGCAAAGCAGAAAAAUCUGAAACUCCACAGUCCUUGUUGUUAGCCAGCAGUGCAGAGGUGGAGACAGCUCUCACGUCGGUCCAAUUUGUGAAUGACGUGGAGAAAGAGGGCCAUGAGCUGAGUGAGCAUUCACAACUGGAGGCUGUGAGUUCUGCAUUGGGCAUAGGGGAAUUUGAUAACGUUUCAGAUGUGGACAAUAUUGAUGAUCUGUCUCAAAUCGGCCUUGUUGAUAGCAGGGUGUCAAGUGGUAAAGAUUUGCUCGAGCCCGAGUUGGAUGAAGGCAGUGGAAAAGUACGUUCCCCAACACAAGACGUCUCAGAUGUGCCACUUGACUCAUAUUCCCAGGUCAUCUUCAGCAAUGGUGGUCUCAACACCACCUCUAUAGAUGGUCCAACUCAGGCAGACAUGUAUCCAGGUCUAGGACUCUCUGACUCUCUUCUGGAGACCUCCACCCAGGCCACAGUGGGCUCUGCUCAGCGUGCGUCGAGAACAUCAGAUUUCAUCCCUCCGGUGACACAAGUUGAUCAGGAUGAGUUGCCUCUAGGAUCGAUUCUUUCUCAGGCACAAAACGGUUUGGGAAUAUCUGAGAGAAAAGGAAGAGCUUCUGCUGCCAGUGAGGGAACCUCUGAUGACUUCAACGCACUUAUAAAAGAGAUUGUAUACAAGGCAGCCCGAGACAUCAACAAUCUGAAACUGCUCAUUUCGCAGUGGGAGGUCGAAGAACGGUCCAAAGUCACUGCUGGUGAAGACAAGGCCUUGGUGCAAAGUCGUGUUUAUGAGCGGGUGGCCAGCUACUUGAAGACCUUUUUUGCCCAUCGUAGAAUGUUUGCUGAACAGUCUGAGGAGCCAGAAGAAGUGGGGAGUUACAAUGUCAAAGUGCCCCUGUCACCGAUGCUAUCCAAAGCUGUCUCUGAGAUUCCAGGGCUGUACUCGCUGGCGCCACCACCGGGCUCAGAACUCUUUGAAAGUCGGAUUGAUGUAGAGGUUGGGGCAGACACCGCCCCAGAACUGCUACAGUUGGACUCUCAAUUCACUUUCAGGUUCCAGGAAUCAGUUCGCUCACAAUCUAGUCUUCCAUCAGUGUAUGAUGACAUAAGAGAUCUGGAAGGUCCCCUUGAGGAAUCAAGGCUAUUCACCUUCAGAGACUUAAUCCCUGAUAUGUCAGUCUCUAAUGAGUCAGUCCCUGGUGUGCCAGUUCCUGAUGUCCCUGGUGUGUCUGUCUGCGAUGGGUUGGUCCCUGACGAGUCAGUCCCUGCUGUCUCUGUCAGUGGUUGGUGGGUUCCUGAUAUGUCAGUCCCCGAUAUGUCAGUCCCCGGCAUGUUAGUCCCCGGCGUGUCAGUCCCUGGCGUAUCAGUCCCCGACGUGUCAGUCCCCGACGUGUCAGUCCCCAGCAUGUCAGUCCCCGGCAUGUUAGUCCCCGGCGUGUCAGUCCCUGGCGUAUCAGUCCCCGACGUGUCAGUCCCCGGCAUGUUAGUCCCUGGUGGGUCAGUCCCCGGCAUGUUAGUCCCCGGCGUGUCAGUCCCUGGCGUAUCAGUCCCCGACGAGUCAGUCCCCGGCAUGUCAGUCCCCGGCAUGUCAGUCCCCAACAUGUCAGUCCCCGGCUUGUCAGUCCCCGGCAUGUCAGUCCCCAGCAUGUCAGUCCCCGACAUGUCACUCCCCGGCGUGUCAGUCCCUGGUGUGUCAAUCCCCGGCAUGUCAGUCCCCGACAUGUCAGUCUCCGGCGUGUCAGUCCCUGGCAUGUUAGUCUCUGGUGUGUCAGUCCCCGACAUGUCAGUCCCUGGCGUAUCAGUCCCCGACGUGUCAUUCCCCGACGUGUCAGUCCCUGGCGUGUUAGUCCCUGGUGUGUCAGUCCCCGACGUGUCAGUCCCUGGCGUGUUAGUCUCUGGUGUGUUAGUCCCUGAUGAGUCAGUCCCCGGCGUGUUAGUCCCUGGUGUGUUAGUCCCUGAUGAGUCAGUCAGUGCUGUCUCAGUCUGUGAUUGGUGGGUCCCUGCUUUGUCAGCCCCUGAUGGGUCAGUCCCAGAUGAGUCAGUCCCAGAUGAGUCAGCAGCAGUUUGCAACCCUCUGGCCUCGUCAAUGAGGCUCAUAGGUUUUACAAAUGGUAAUGUGGAAGUGGAAAUAACCCCACAGGUGCCUCCUCUGGCUCCAUCAACUACUGCCUUCUUUUUGUUAGACAGUGAUGACAAAACGUCAGGAUUUAAGCCAUCAAAUCUUGUGGAAGACAUCAUUAGGGAAGACUCUGGAAUAGGAUCAGAACUUCCUGAGGGCUCUGUCUUCUCUGUGGCUCCCUCAAGAAGUUCUACACCUGCCACGUUCCUUCAGCAGGCACAGAUUGUUUAUGAGCAAGUCCCCACUUCAGAAGUUCAUGCAGGGAUGUUGGUGAAAGAUGCAAUAGACAGUGAUCUGAAACUAUCAGAGGGGAGGGACUGGAUCAAUAUGGCUGCCGAGUUAGGAGCUGUGACACUGCAUGACGACAAAGAUCCACAAACUACAGAAAGAAACACUAAUCUUCCUGGGACCUCCAUACCCAUCAUUGAAGACAUGCCAUUGCUAGACCUCACUUUUCUUCCAACAUCAUCAUCCACGUAUUUACAACGAGUCAGAUCAGAAAGCCCUCUAGAAAAAAUGAAGGCAAAUGUAGAUCAAACUGUGGAGGAGAACAGAGUCGUAUUUAUUCCUUCCCUUAUUGAAGAUGAUCCAUCAGCACCGGUUCCUACAGCUUUCAUAACUUCUUCGACAGACUUUGUCUCAAAAGUGUCUUACCAGGAAGGGCAGGAUGAGUCACUGACAUGGAUGGUUGUCUCAGACUCCUUUGGAGGACAAUUACCCGAUGCUACCCGACUGGCCCUCCUGACGCUCCCUGAGUCAACCUCACUGCCUGAAGCGCAGGAAUACCCAGGGCAACCUGUCAGAGUAGAGAUGGAAGGCACACCUCAGCUUUUCACCAGUAACAUGGGGCCGGCCCUUGAAGAAGUUUAUCCACAGGCUCCAUUAGAGAUCGAUGCGUCUCUGUGUGUAGAGGAAAAAUCUAGUGAGCCUUUGAUGGUGGGCGUUCCAGACGUGUCCCCGCUGAUGGAAAUGAAGAAGGUCUUGAAUGUCAUCAUGAGACAGUUCUUCGAUGGCCUCUCAGAAAGAAACCUUCGAGAGAUGAGCAACGGCAUAGACAACCUGAUGGUGAAGGAGCAACUAGUCAGCAUGUGCAUGUCGGUCCUCGAAAUGGCGACAAGGGCCUUUGUCUCUCUGGCUAACUGCCAAGAUACUGAUGUGACGUCCUCACCAGCAAGCUGCGGUCCAUCCGUGACCCUCAUGGUUGACCUUGAGCAGAGGACCUCUAGCCUUGUAAAGGAGUCGACUGAUCAGAACUUUAAGAUGUUCCUGGUAAAUGCCAUCUCUGACCUGGCAGACGAGAACACGACAAUUCAGACUCCGCCCGAAAUCAAAGACGGGAUCUUGAACACUGUCACAGAGGAGGUCAACUGCAUACUGUCUGAGAACAUCCAGAACUCGCUACACAGUCGGCACUCGGGCACCAACUUUUGCCAGAUGUCCACGUGUAGGCUAUGCAGGAAGAUAAUGGCGCGUGUAGCUCGAGAGAUCAAGCUGCUCAUCAAAGGCCGCCGCACCAAGAAGGUAAGACCCAGGAGCUCAAGUAAAGCGGAUCUUUAUCCUCUGAAGCUGAUGGAGCAGACAAAAGGAGACUUUGCCAACCUUGAGCCUCCAAACUUAACGGAAGUGUCCAUGAAAGACUCAAGUGUUUUAAAGAAGCCCUCUCUUAUAAAGAGGUUCUGGGGUCAACUUAAGUGCAAGGAAUGACCUCAGACUUCCCCAUGAAGUGUGAGUACUGAAUGACACAAAUGGUCAAGCUGUGAUGCCAAGAACCAAUAAACCCUUGUGCACCCCUAAGCACAUAUCUUCUUGUGUGUAUGCAGCAACAACACAACUGUUCAGAAUAAUGAAUUCCAAAAGUAGUGUAUUGUAUAUUCUAUUCUCUAUUUAAGUGGUAGUGACACAUUAAUGAGAGGGCAAAAACAUUAGGUUAGGUUAGGUAACUUUAUUGUCAAAUAUGCUACAGUGCAGCAUCUGACAUAUAGCAUGGAUGAAAUAUCUGUUCUCUCAGACCUGGACAGCAUCAUCUUAUUCAAGUACUGUAAACACAGACCAAAGUAAGUCUUUUUUUCUGAACUUUACAUUUCUGUAUUAAGUUAACUGACACUAGCAAGGGGCUGGAUAUCAGUGAACCUGAAACAACUUCUGUCAUUUCUCAAUGCCUGUGCCAAAUUUGUGUCCUUUAUAGCAGUGUUUUUCAACUUUUUUCUAGCCACGGCACAUUUUGUUCAUUGAAAAAAUCCCAAGGCUCACCACCAAUGAAUCCUUGGCCGAUUGUGCCCAGUCGAAAGUCCUGUAGAAAAUCCCUUUUCAUUUGUGAAAAUUUGUAGUUACUGACACUUUUUGGCAUGUUAUUUGCAGACACGUUUUGUUUUUCUUCAAUUUUACCACAAUGUCUUUUGCAUGAUUUUAUUCUAGUAUGAUAAUAAUAAUAAUAUUCUUUGCCUCAGCUGGCUUCACAACAACAGUGAUUCUUUCGGUCUUCUCAUUUUGGAGCAAAUUUAUUUGAAUGUUAACCAAAACCACAAAGAAAAUUCUGACAGUUUGCGAGAGUUAAUAAAGCUUUGAAGGGCCAUUAGCUAUUAGCUCUGUUAGCUAUGUUAGUGCUGCGGCAGAGAAUGCCUUUGGCGUCGCGGGUCCGCCAAGGAACAAUCCAUCAUUCUGUCGUGAAGGUGUGUGGUUACAUUAGAGGCGCAUCAGGUAAAAAAAGAACUUGAAGUUGCGCAUUUGACCUGCUUCUUCGCUGUGAGGGAAAAGAAGCAGUGCGCACCACACUGCGCACUGUGAGUGAUGGACGAGUAGAGUCAGCAUCCAUCUAUAGUGUGUAGAAAGAAUGUUACCGAAUCCAUGUAAUCUCCUCACGUCAGCAGGUUCCUAUUGUUUAAUGUUGUCAUAUCGUCCACCUCCAUCUCCGGACAAAUUGGGUGAAACUGGAUAAUUUCCCACCGAAGCAGCAGCAGUUUGCAACCCUCUGGCCUCGUCAAUGAGGCUCAUAGGUUUUACAAAUGGUAAUGUGGAAGUGGAAAUAACCCCACAGGUGCCUCCUCUGGCUCCAUCAACUACUGCCUUCUUUUUGUUAGACAGUGAUGACAAAACGUCAGGAUUUAAGCCAUCAAAUCUUGUGGAAGACAUCAUUAGGGAAGACUCUGGAAUAGGAUCAGAACUUCCUGAGGGCUCUGUCUUCUCUGUGGCUCCCUCAAGAAGUUCUACACCUGCCACGUUCCUUCAGCAGGCACAGAUUGUUUAUGAGCAAGUCCCCACUUCAGAAGUUCAUGCAGGGAUGUUGGUGAAAGAUGCAAUAGACAGUGAUCUGAAACUAUCAGAGGGGAGGGACUGGAUCAAUAUGGCUGCCGAGUUAGGAGCUGUGACACUGCAUGACGACAAAGAUCCACAAACUACAGAAAGAAACACUAAUCUUCCUGGGACCUCCAUACCCAUCAUUGAAGACAUGCCAUUGCUAGACCUCACUUUUCUUCCAACAUCAUCAUCCACGUAUUUACAACGAGUCAGAUCAGAAAGCCCUCUAGAAAAAAUGAAGGCAAAUGUAGAUCAAACUGUGGAGGAGAACAGAGUCGUAUUUAUUCCUUCCCUUAUUGAAGAUGAUCCAUCAGCACCGGUUCCUACAGCUUUCAUAACUUCUUCGACAGACUUUGUCUCAAAAGUGUCUUACCAGGAAGGGCAGGAUGAGUCACUGACAUGGAUGGUUGUCUCAGACUCCUUUGGAGGACAAUUACCCGAUGCUACCCGACUGGCCCUCCUGACGCUCCCUGAGUCAACCUCACUGCCUGAAGCGCAGGAAUACCCAGGGCAACCUGUCAGAGUAGAGAUGGAAGGCACACCUCAGCUUUUCACCAGUAACAUGGGGCCGGCCCUUGAAGAAGUUUAUCCACAGGCUCCAUUAGAGAUCGAUGCGUCUCUGUGUGUAGAGGAAAAAUCUAGUGAGCCUUUGAUGGUGGGCGUUCCAGACGUGUCCCCGCUGAUGGAAAUGAAGAAGGUCUUGAAUGUCAUCAUGAGACAGUUCUUCGAUGGCCUCUCAGAAAGAAACCUUCGAGAGAUGAGCAACGGCAUAGACAACCUGAUGGUGAAGGAGCAACUAGUCAGCAUGUGCAUGUCGGUCCUCGAAAUGGCGACAAGGGCCUUUGUCUCUCUGGCUAACUGCCAAGAUACUGAUGUGACGUCCUCACCAGCAAGCUGCGGUCCAUCCGUGACCCUCAUGGUUGACCUUGAGCAGAGGACCUCUAGCCUUGUAAAGGAGUCGACUGAUCAGAACUUUAAGAUGUUCCUGGUAAAUGCCAUCUCUGACCUGGCAGACGAGAACACGACAAUUCAGACUCCGCCCGAAAUCAAAGACGGGAUCUUGAACACUGUCACAGAGGAGGUCAACUGCAUACUGUCUGAGAACAUCCAGAACUCGCUACACAGUCGGCACUCGGGCACCAACUUUUGCCAGAUGUCCACGUGUAGGCUAUGCAGGAAGAUAAUGGCGCGUGUAGCUCGAGAGAUCAAGCUGCUCAUCAAAGGCCGCCGCACCAAGAAGGUAAGACCCAGGAGCUCAAGUAAAGCGGAUCUUUAUCCUCUGAAGCUGAUGGAGCAGACAAAAGGAGACUUUGCCAACCUUGAGCCUCCAAACUUAACGGAAGUGUCCAUGAAAGACUCAAGUGUUUUAAAGAAGCCCUCUCUUAUAAAGAGGUUCUGGGGUCAACUUAAGUGCAAGGAAUGACCUCAGACUUCCCCAUGAAGUGUGAGUACUGAAUGACACAAAUGGUCAAGCUGUGAUGCCAAGAACCAAUAAACCCUUGUGCACCCCUAAGCACAUAUCUUCUUGUGUGUAUGCAGCAACAACACAACUGUUCAGAAUAAUGAAUUCCAAAAGUAGUGUAUUGUAUAUUCUAUUCUCUAUUUAAGUGGUAGUGACACAUUAAUGAGAGGGCAAAAACAUUAGGUUAGGUUAGGUAACUUUAUUGUCAAAUAUGCUACAGUGCAGCAUCUGACAUAUAGCAUGGAUGAAAUAUCUGUUCUCUCAGACCUGGACAGCAUCAUCUUAUUCAAGUACUGUAAACACAGACCAAAGUAAGUCUUUUUUUCUGAACUUUACAUUUCUGUAUUAAGUUAACUGACACUAGCAAGGGGCUGGAUAUCAGUGAACCUGAAACAACUUCUGUCAUUUCUCAAUGCCUGUGCCAAAUUUGUGUCCUUUAUAGCAGUGUUUUUCAACUUUUUUCUAGCCACGGCACAUUUUGUUCAUUGAAAAAAUCCCAAGGCUCACCACCAAUGAAUCCUUGGCCGAUUGUGCCCAGUCGAAAGUCCUGUAGAAAAUCCCUUUUCAUUUGUGAAAAUUUGUAGUUACUGACACUUUUUGGCAUGUUAUUUGCAGACACGUUUUGUUUUUCUUCAAUUUUACCACAAUGUCUUUUGCAUGAUUUUAUUCUAGUAUGAUAAUAAUAAUAAUAUUCUUUGCCUCAGCUGGCUUCACAACAACAGUGAUUCUUUCGGUCUUCUCAUUUUGGAGCAAAUUUAUUUGAAUGUUAACCAAAACCACAAAGAAAAUUCUGACAGUUUGCGAGAGUUAAUAAAGCUUUGAAGGGCCAUUAGCUAUUAGCUCUGUUAGCUAUGUUAGUGCUGCGGCAGAGAAUGCCUUUGGCGUCGCGGGUCCGCCAAGGAACAAUCCAUCAUUCUGUCGUGAAGGUGUGUGGUUACAUUAGAGGCGCAUCAGGUAAAAAAAGAACUUGAAGUUGCGCAUUUGACCUGCUUCUUCGCUGUGAGGGAAAAGAAGCAGUGCGCACCACACUGCGCACUGUGAGUGAUGGACGAGUAGAGUCAGCAUCCAUCUAUAGUGUGUAGAAAGAAUGUUACCGAAUCCAUGUAAUCUCCUCACGUCAGCAGGUUCCUAUUGUUUAAUGUUGUCAUAUCGUCCACCUCCAUCUCCGGACAAAUUGGGUGAAACUGGAUAAUUUCCCACCGAACACUUGACAUUCACACUAGUAUUAUUGGUCACAGAAUUAGUGGUGCAUUGAUCAAACAGCCGGCCGAUUUAUUGGUGCCGAUAUGGGCAUUUAUGACAUCGUCAUGAUCGGUCGGUCACUCUAUGCGUUCCUACUCUGUAGUUCCUGCCCUUUUGCUCCAGCUACAGUACAUCUCCCCCCUUUUAGUUACUGGUCAGACUUUAUCUUUUGUUUGUUUUCCUUUCUAUGUCAACAAUUUAUCUCUAUCUUGCCUGAGGUCAUGCUCAAGGGUUGAUCCAAAAACGAGGAUGUUGUUGGUAUGAUGUACCAUCCCUUCCAGUCAUGGCCAACAUAUGUGUCUCUUCCUUUGUAAAUGUUCAGGUGCCGCACGGUAAGGGUGUCAGAGUCCAGCUGUGGCGUCCAGUUUGAGUGUUGCCCUGCCAGCUUGGCCAGGGAUUUGCCCAUGGCUGGCCUCUGGUCUCUUCCUGUGGGUUUGGUGCCACUACCAUGCCUGUGCACCAUUCUGUGGCCUCUUCGAUGGGCAUAGUUACCCCUAUUUUCUCUGAAGCUAUAUGGUAAAUAUCGAAGUAGCAGCAAUACAUUGGGCUUUGCGUCCGCCUUCCGCCCAAUCUUUUAUUCCCCUUUUCGUCAACCCAGCCUCUGACUCUUUAAUGCCAUCUAUUAGCUGCAGAUGCUGCGGGUCAGAGACAGCAGGAAACCCAGGCGGAGGAGUGGAUAUUGUGGUGUGGUCAUUCACUUUCACAGUCUUUUCCAUUUCUUCCUUGACAGCACCUACUCUACCUGGCUUGCAAAUGGAAAAAGUGUCCUUUUCGUCCGCAUCUACUACAUAUAGAUUCGUGUGCAAAGUAGUUGUUCCGGGAGUGUGCUGGUCCUUUUCCAGAUGGGUGUUCUCUGUGUGACCUUUUUCUGGAAUUUCAGUCCACGCUGGCCAAUUUCCAUUAUUGAGAAUGAGUCUCUCUCUCACCAUUGGCUGCUGUUUCCUUUUCCUCAUGUUGUCUUGUUGCAGUGACAGCUUUUUCUGGUGUCAGUUCACUGUUCAUUUUUCAGAAAGGCAAUGGGAUAACCCCACCACCAACCUGUCUCAGAUCAAUUCGUCCUCCGAUGGGCCAUGUUGACAGUGCUCUGCAGUGCUGAAGGCCUCAUCUGAAUCUCCUGGCUCUUGGCAAGUCUUAUUGAAAUCAGUCCUUUCACAAUUAUUUUGGGAUAUACAGCAUUCAUCGAAUGUCUGUUUCAUUGGCCGGUGACACUUUAAAUCUGCAGCACCAAGUUUACUCAGACUCUCAUCAGUUUUGUUGAGCAUCACCAAUGAGUUCCCUUGAUGCGCUUUGUCUUUCUGUGAGUGUAUUAGAUCUGCUCUUCACUCCUGAACUUGUGCCUUCUGGGAUUAGGUCACCGAGACGCAUCAUAACUGAGCCUGCUGCAGCCAGAUUUUCUGCUAUGUAUGAUUCUUUUGUUCUUGGAACGUGAUGAGGUGGACAACUUUAUUAAUAACUUUAACAGUCACUUCAUCUUUUUUAGAUCUGUCCAAUCUAAUCUUGUGUCUCAAGAAGCAGUUUAUGCUUAGAUUAAUUCGGAAUAUGAGGAGACAAAACUGAGCGUCUGUGGAAGUCAAUUAAACUUGCGGCAUCUCAAGGAGCUUGGAUUUUCUUUAAAUGAAACUAUGCAAAAAUGCCAGGUCUGACUAUCUCCGCCAGCUGGUCAUCAUGAAUAAAAAGUGCUGUUUGACACCUUCAGCUCUUACACCUGUAUUUUGCAUGGCUGACUGUAAUUAAUUUCUUUUGAAGAAUGAAGUUCUUUAUUGGUAAAUUUUGGGACAUAAAGUUCCAGCUUCCGGCGCCAUCUAAUUGUAACCCUGCUGAUAAUGAGCCUGUACGCUGUAAGUGGUCAUCUUUUUAACCUGUAACACAACCAGAAUGAAGCUUUCCUUUUGUUCAUAACAUGUUAUGCCUUGUAAACUCCUUUUAAAUGCAUUUCAUAUCAUUGGCCCCAGGGUUACCAGAGUGAUCAGCCUGUCGCUCUCUACUAGUGUCUUUUCUAAUUCUUAAUAAUAAAAUGCCAUUGUGGAACCACAACUCAUAAAAUCAAAUCUGGAUCCUUCAGAUCCCAAAAAAUUCAGAACAACUGACUUUUCAGUCUGGUUUUCAUAAGCAUCACUCCACAGAAAAAAACGCCCUGCUCAACGUGUCCAGUGACAUGAUGUCUGUAGACUGUAGAAAUGCACUGUCCUGGUCCUGUCAGAUCUCUCUUCAGCAUUUGACAGUGUCGGAUCAUCACAUUCCAUUAACUGUGACCCAGGAUCAGUCCUACCAUGGCUCUCUUCAUUCUGUACCUGGUCAAACUUCCUCAAACCGUGACACCAAGUCAGUCGUUUUCUUCGGCUCCAGUCUUCUGAGACUAAAGAGGAACAAAACACUGGGCUACCUAGCAGACUAAGGUAACGGGUAGCAAGGCAAGUGGAGAGCCAUUUCCUGGUGUACACUGGAUUAGAAAGAGGAAGAAACACGCAAGUUGAACUCAGCAUUUAAUCAUCAGACAUUUCAUCUCACAUUCGCUGCUAUAUAAAAUACAAUCUCCGACACGGACGUCAAUUCAAGUUCAGUCAUAAAUUGAACAGUUCUCCGAAACAUGAACACUGACUUUGCAUUAAGUCAUAUGACUUCACACUGUAAACAUUUGAGCAACUUUGUAUUUGUAGUUUGUCACAUGACCCUGACUCUUCUCCUGGCACGGUCACACCAGCCCCCAGUGCCUGACAUAAAAACAACAAGUCACAGUAUUUUGAAUUAAAAAAAUAGUUUGUGUCGUCAACUGUACACAAUGUGCUUUUCCGAAAUGGUGCUGAGCUGGCUGCACCCUGCAGGGGCUGCCGGCACGGUCAUGGCAGUCGGUCUGCGUGAAAGCGGCGAUGCCUGAAGCGUCCGCUCUUGUCCUUGGCUGCAUUGAUGCAGGCAUUGUGCUUGUUGCUCUGCAGGUGGUUCCAGUACUUGAUGAGCUCAUUGGGCUGGAACUGGUGUGAUGUUAUUAGGUGGCUGUACUUGCAGCUGGAGUAUGAAACCCUCCAGUGGUUGAACAGGAACUCAUUGGGCGGUGGCACUGGGUCAAUGCGCAGCUUCGCCAAACAGAUUCCGACGUAAACGUCCUCCAGGUGGAGCCGACGAAUCCCUGUUGAUGCUUGGUAGAUGAGUUCCGCCAUGUCACCCGAAAACACAUAUCCUGUUCCGGAGCAGAAUAUGGGGUAGCGUUCACUGGGGUACAGCUCAGGAGGCAUGUACCACUUACUGUCUUUGUUCCGGUUUGGGGCAUAGCCCCUCAUCAAGUAGCCAGUGAAGUAGCGCCGUCUCGGCGGCACAUCUGGCUUCAGCAGCUUUUGGAUCAGGUACUCUGUGUUGACAAACAUGUCGGAGUCAGUCUUCAUCACGUAGGAAGCGUGUGGGCAGAAGGUGGCGACCCAGUUCAGUCCCAUCAAUGUCUUGAUGGUGAGGUUGUAGUAGGUGUCCUGGUAGUCCUGCUGGAUGAUGUCGUGGUGAGCACGACUCUCCUCCUCCACAGUGCUCUGCACAGAGGCGUCUGGGCCCUGACCAGUGCCGAGCAAGAACAAAUGGAUGAAAGUCAGACCCCCCGCCACACUCUCAUUGCCCCAUGUCUGUCGGAUGGCAUCCCGGGCCUCGGACUGACCCGGCUCUGCGGCAAUGAGCAAAAUGAGGAACGGCGUGGUGUCCCUGCACUUGAAUGGCUCGUUGAGGAUGUAGCGGUAUGGCUGCGCACUGAGUCUCCCUCCCACACCCAUCUCCUCCUGUAGACUGUUGUUGGGGCUCAUAGAGUCACCCAGCCCCAUGACGCCCACACGGACGCCCUCCCCCUCAGCCUGAUGCAAGCUCAAGUUGAGCGGAGACUUUUGCAGUGAAUGACCAGCCUCCUUCCAGAGACUCCUGAGCGAGCUGCUCUGAUUGCUCUCCCCUCUAGGACUCCUAAUACCUCGAACUGUGUAUGCCAGAGGACCUUCUCGUGGCCCACUACGCCCGGGUAGCCAGUCCUGAUGGCUAAAGAACAAGAGCAGGGUAAAGAGCAGCGCCAACAUCAGAAGUCCUGCCACGUGGGUGCGGAAAUGGGAACGCUUGGUCGUCCAUGACAUUGUGACGGGGCAACAGUGCCGCCGUCGCCACUGCAUGUUGCAGGUCUGGGUCUCAAGGUGCGGCUGGAGGGCAAGCAGCAGUCACAUGCGGUCGCCUGAUCAUGUGGAAGCCAAGAGUAUGUGAGCUUGGCAGUGGAGCCAAGGCCAGCUGGUGUCGUCAGCUUACAAGUACAGCAGGGGAGACGACUAUGUUCUCACAGGAAUGACUCGCUGACACAUCUCUAGCUGCAGUGAUGGUCUCCUGUCACGAUCCGCUGCUGGACACAAAGGGAUCGACUCCUUGUGUUGCGUUCUGUGGAACCAGUGGACAGACAGAGACGGUUAGUGACACGCUUUCACUCACCAAGCAACGGUCCGUCCCAAAGGUUGGUCAAAAGUGUCGGCUGACAAACCCUCAGGAAAUGUUGUGGUUAAGACCACCUAUCCUGAGAUCAUGACCAGUCCAAACCAUUGCGGGGGCAGCACAGACCAAGACCACCAAGCAUGCCUGACCUGACAUGCAGAGUUGCCGCAUUGUCAAAACACAUUAAGGUAGCAACUAGGACUAGCACUUGUAACAAGAACCGGCACUUUGGUACUAAUUUGGUUCCAGCAUGUUAAAAACAUACAAUGAUACCACCAUCUUGCGGCAUCGUUGGUACCGAUUCAUCACCGCAACAACGAGGGCAGUACACACGUGUGCGCACUGAACUGUCUGCACCCAGGAAGAACGUUGGACGUCUUUAAAGAAAAAGACGGUGUAAACACAGCUCUGAGGUUGAUCGACACACCAGGUAGUUUGAUUUGUGUGUAGAGGUACAUUGCAUUCGAGGCAGGUAGAUUACGUAUUAUCUGUUAGGAGCCAUUUUAAACUCACUAAAACUCAAAGUCCGAGAUGUGAACGCAAGCGAGUGAGUUUCAUUUUCGUUUCUCUUGAUUCAUGUUGUACUUAACACAAACACAUGGUUUGAUGUUUAGGUGAGAGGGUAUUUAUUAGGGGCAAGCAAUGGCGGCUAGUGAAAAAAAUCUAUAUUCAUAUUCAAAACAUGUCAGUACAUAUAAUUAACAAAAAAGAUGGCUAAAAUGUACUUCAGUUUCAUAUUGCCCUGAAUUUAUGUUCUUGAUGUGUGUUUAUAAAUUAAAAUUAAAUAUAAGUCAGUCAACAAGUCUCUUUAUCAGUUAUUAAAGCAUUUUAAAAUUUCAAUUCUGUGCAUCCCCAGCAUUUAAGGUAAUCUAACAAAAAUUACCACGGCAAUAUCCUAUAAUACUGAUAGGCCAAUAUUGUUGGCCCGGUAGCCAAGUUAUUAAAAAAAGGAAUUAUAAUAUAAUAUCUGUAUUUGAUUUUCCCCGACGAUGAAAACCGACACGCAUCGCCAAAUAUGCUGAAAAUGCUUGUGAAAAUCUGAGACAUUAUUGUGUGACAUCAGUGUUCUUACUUUUAACACAUUAAAUUGUUGCAUGAAUAGUUACAUACUGUAUAUCGGUAUCGAUUUUUAUCGGCAUAUCCGGGAUCUGCAAAAUGUCGAUAUUGGUCGUCCCUAUUAAUGUACCUGAUUCAUACAGCAAGUCAAACUCAUGUCAGACUCAUCUGCAGCGUCAUCGCCUUUAACAUCACCAGUGUCAUCAUCAGCACCAUCUACUUCACCACCGCCAUCACAUCAUCUUUAUCAUCAUUGUGAUCACAUCCUCAUUAUCAUAAAGACCUUCAUCCCCCCAACAUCAUCUGCAUCAUGCUCCAGCCUUCACUCAAUACAAACAUCCGCUUCAGUGAUGCUUGUUUGUUUAAUUUCAGGACUGACUGGCGAACAGUAGGCAAAACAAGGCAUGGUCUGUGUUAGUUCCAUGUCCGACCACACGACGGCACUGAUCAAUCAUCGUCCUUAUGCGGAACUUCUGUUGUCAUGUGAGCACUGGUCACAUGAUCACAGGGAUCAGAGUGUCUAGAACAAGACCUGAAGUUCUGUCAUGUGAAGAAGCCCAAGAGAUUGGUGGGUCACGAAAGAAACCCAAAGACCUGGGCAUCUGGGCAUCCAGGACCCUGACACCCUCUCCUCCGAUCAGGGAGCAUUGCAGAGAGGAGGUGGCAAGAGGAGCAAGAAGAUGAGGAGAACAAGAAGAAAGAACAGUAUGAGGUGGACAGGAGGAGGACGAGGUGCAAGAAGGUGAGGAGGAUGAGGAUCAAGAAGAUGAGGAUGGGUAGGUCUGGAAGCGCCUGCGGUGGGAGUGGGACGUGGAUGGGGGAGGGUGGGUGCUGAUGGAGGCGCAGGGCGGGGAAGGCUGAAUGAAGAAUGACGCUCACCUCCUCGUCAUGGUGCUGAGGCUGCUGCGCUCUGCUGCUGGAGGAUGCGUCCUCUUCCAGCCGCCAUGGGCACCUCCCUCUGCGAUGUGGCCCUCACUAACGCUGCUACAACCUCCUGCUGCCCCUGGCCGCAGCAACCCUCCUCAUUUCUCCGGCUACAGACGAGUCCAGAAGUGAUGAAGAGCCGCGGUCUCUCCGUCCACUCGGACCAAACGCCACAGGCUCCCCGCCAAGGACUCCAGGCUCCGCGUUCCCUCCUCGAGUGUUCUCUUGCCGUGUGGACGUCACCGAUAUUUGGAGGAUUUUGUCGGUGGUGAGAGAGUGAGACUGUCCGCUAGCCAGGAUGACAGCCAGACUCCGCUCCACUGACGGAGCUCCAGGACGUCACUGCUGUCUUAGCCGAGAGUAUCACGUGACGGCAGAGCGGUGUUCAAGGGUCGUGGGAGAGAAAUGUUUCGGGUGGGAAGGAUACAAGAUGACUCUGACUUGAGGGAAUCUCUAACCUGUCUGAAAAUACAGACACCAUCCGAACUUUAUGCAGGCAUUCUUCCUUUAUCAUCCAUCUCUCAUCCUUCCUGUUGUUCAUCUUUCCUUCUCCCAUUACCCAUUAUUGUGCAUGUCUAUCAUGCAUCCUUCGCAUCCAUCCAUCAUAUAUCUGUCACCAUUCCUUCAGCACCCAUCUCUCAUUCUUCCUGCAUUAUUUAUCACUCACUCCUCUAUUCUCAUCCAUCUCUGAUCAUUUCCUCAUCAUCUAGCUUUGAUCCCUCCUUCAACCAUCUCUCAUCAGUCCUUGCUUAUUCGUCAAAUGCUUACCUUUCCAUCCAGACUGAACAUGGUACUCGUCAAUACACUAGAAACAUGUUUGCAGACAGGAAAUAGUUUUGAGCCUGGCGGUACGUCCAUCCAGUACCGAAUGUAGUCAUUGUCGUCAUCAGGAAUGAUAUACAGUAACUGCUCAGCUUCAGCAGCAGAGAAAUUCUGGAUCCCUCAACCCAGAACCAGUGACCCGGCAACCGAAGAGAAUCCCGUCACGUCACUGACAACACUCUUGACUCUGCUCAGCUCUGUUGCCAUGGAAACAAGGAAACUCACAUGCACACAAAAGCAGACACACACACACACACACACAUUUGUCUCUAUACGUCCAACACCCGGAGAAAGGCUGACACUCACAAAGUCAGUGUGUUAGCAACAGUAACCAUGGUGACAGCAAGACACAUUAUGGUCUGCUAGUAUAUCAGCAGAAGGUGAGUGAUUGAUGACGAUCCACACCACGGCCAUCUCCCGUCUCUCAUCCCUCCAUAAAAGAUGCUCCCAUUCUCAUGUGUCCGCACGUUGAAUCUGUGACCCUGAUGUGGUCCUAAUCCGAGAUUAUGUGAAAGCACUGCUGUGUUAUUGGAGCAUAUAAUCCCUCGUGCCGGGAUCAGGACCGUUACAGUCAUUCAAUCUCAUGUCGAAAAUCUCUGCCAAAGAAGUCAGAUGACCAUGUGGACUGGAUUGCUUGCCAAAAAAUCAUUUGGCACCAUGACGACACCGAUUGUUCAAGUCACCAUGUCUGCACUGAAGUUUCACUCAGUCACUCGUUGCCAUGACAACCUGAAUGAAUUGUGAGGCCUUGGAGUCUGAUGACCUCCUCCCUCUGCGCUGAGGUGUGCGUGUGUUUGGGCGGAUGUGGGAGGUGGGGGGUAGGAGGUACUAUCUAGGCCAGUGGACCCCUGAGACUCACGCUCUCAUGGAUUCUCCACAACGUUCCAGAUGAUCAGCAACAACAGCACCUGGGAAUCUGUGGACAUGAAUGUGCGUAUGUGUGUGCGGGCACACUUUACCAUACUUGUGAGUGUCAGAUCUUGGCAAGCCACCUUCUUGUGAGGACAUCUUGGCCUGUCCUCACAAGGUUUGGAGGGUUAAAACCUCAGUAAAAGUUUGGUCCUGUUUAAAGUAACCCAUUUGUUUUGGAUGCUUGGGUUUAGGGUGAGAGGCUGGGGAAAGCAUUGUGCCAAUGACCGGACCCCACAAAGAUGAUGUGACAAACCUGUAUGUGUGCACGCAUGUGUGUGCAUGUAUAUGUGCUGUAUGUAAGAGUGUGUGGGUGUGUUGCCCUCUGGAUCGGUUGUGUGCCCUGCUCUUCUUGUCUUCUGCUCGUAGGUCGUCUGGGUUGCUUUCCAUGCACCCAGUCGACCAGUACUUGUGAGCCGCUCCAGGAGUGGAGGGAACAGAAAUGCAUGAGGAGACCUGAGCUGGAUCAUAGGGGACCUUCAGAACCACAAACGGAUUCAGACAUACCUGUAUGUGUCCCUGAAACACAACUCUUCUAAUCACAGCUCACUGAGGCCCCCUACAUUAUUAAUGAGAAACUGCUUACAUAACCAGAA